rnacentral:rRNA from 1 species
GACGAACGCUGGCGGCGUGCUUAACACAUGCAAGUCGAACGGAAACGCCCUGCCUUUGGGGGCUGCUCGAGUUGCGAACGGGUGAGCAACCCGUGAGUAACCUGCCCCUGCCUUUGGGAUAACCUAAGGAAACUGGGGCUCAUACCGGCUAGGAGCUCCCGCCGCUUGGUGGGGGCUGGAUAGUUUCGGCGGUUGGGGAUGGACUCGCGGCGUAUCGGCUUGUUGGGUGGGUAGUGGCUUAGCAAGGCUUUGCCCGGUAGCAGGGCUGCGAGGGGGAGCGGCCACAUUGGGACUGGAAUACGGCCCAGACCACAACGGGAGGCAACGGUGGGGAGUAUUAUACAGUGGGAGGAAGCCUGGUGUGACAAAGCCGCGUGCGGGAUGACGUCCUUGGGGUAGUAAACCGCAUUCGCCUGUGACGAGACGUUAGUGACGGUACUGGGUAAAGAAGCACCGGCUAACUACGUG